CUGCGUGUCGAAUUGUAUCCCAUAUCGAAACGAACAAUUCUUUUAUUGUCAUAUUAUACCCGAUUAUAGUAGAUAAUCUAGUAUGUUUCCUAGCAAAUUAUAAAAUUUAUAGUUUGCAUCACGUAAUAAUCAUAAAUUAAUCAGGUAUAUCAAUGUCGUACAUGGACCGUAUAUACAUUUACACUUUUUGGUCUCUGCAUCAUUAUUACAUAUGAUCGAUUUUUAUUCAUGAUCUAUGUAUACAUUCUUCUCUCGGGUACCUAUACUUUAAUUAAAUCACUGUUUUGCUACGAAUUUUGAAUGUUAUUAGUUCUCAUUAUUAAUUUCUUGUAUCGCCGACAAGUCGGUAAGUACACUCAGGCCAAGUACUGGCUUGGGCCUACCAUUGCGAAGACUGUUUUACUCGGAAGGUGAAUGCAGCCAGCAUCUUGUCGAAAUCGGGAACUCUGUGAUGUUCUACGAUAAGUUCUCAAUUCUACCAUUGGAUUAUCUCACGGAGAAAUUUACGGAUGUCACAUCUGAGCCCAUGAGGGCAACUGUCUUUAUAUUCUUCAUCCGAUACAGGUGCUUUUUUCCUCGUAUCUUCUCUCCUGUUGAUCCCACGCUCCUUUCGCUGCGUUUUUUGAGUUCCUGAGGGUCCGAUUGGUCAGGUACAACCCGAGGUGGUUAUCGGUGGUUGUUCGAGGUGGUUGGCGAUUGUUGGAGGUGGUCGGAGGUGGACGAGCAGGAGGACGAACGGAACUGAGUCAAAGUCCUGUUGACAUAAAAGCAGCUAUUCGAUAGAAAUUAUAGUUUAUAGUUUACACAGCCCAUUGCAUGAUAUUUCAUUAUAAAUACGUAUGUUUCAAUGUAUUUAGGAAUAAUUUAUCAAAUAUACA
rnacentral:lncRNA from 1 species